AGUGAACGCUGGCGGUAGGCCUAACACAUGCAAGUCGAACGGCAGCACAGUAAGAGCUUGCUCUUACGGGUGGCGAGUGGCGGACGGGUGAGGAAUACAUCGGAAUCUACUUUUUCGUGGGGGAUAACGUAGGGAAACUUACGCUAAUACCGCAUACGACCUACGGGUGAAAGCAGGGGAUCUUCGGACCUUGCGCGAUCGAAUGAGCCGAUGUCGGAUUAGCUAGUUGGCGGGGUAAAGGCCCACCAAGGCGACGAUCCGUAGCUGGUCUGAGAGGAUGAUCCGCCCCACUGGAACUGAGACACGGUCCAGACUCCUACGGGAGGCAGCAGUGGGGAAUAUUGGACAAUGGGCGCAAGCCUGAUCCAGCCAUACCGCGUGGGUGAAGCAGGCCUUCGGGUUGUAAAGCCCUUUUGUUGGGAAAGAACAGCAGCAGGUUAAUCCCCCGCUGUUCUGACGGUACCCAAAGAAUAAGCACCGGCUAACUUCGUG
rnacentral:rRNA from 1 species